rnacentral:rRNA from 1 species
GUCUAUGGCCAUACCACCCUGAACGCGCCCGAUCUCGUCUGAUCUCGGAAGCUAAGCAGGGUCGGGCCUAGUUAGUACUUGGAUGGGAGAGAUGAAAUCUUGCUAUGUUGCCCAGGCU